rnacentral:rRNA from 1 species
CUUGCCAGGAAACUACAAGCUCCAGCUUAAAACCCAAAGGACUUGGCGGUGCUUUAGACCCACCUAGAGGAGCCUGUUCUAGAACCGAUAACCCCCGUUAAACCUCACCCUCUCUUGUUUAUUCCGCCUAUAUACCGCCGUCGUCAGCCUACCCUGUGAGGGGCUAAUAGUGGGCAAAAUUGGUACAACCCAAAACGCCAGGUCGAGGUGUAGCGUAUGAGAGGGGAAGAAAUGGGCUACAUUCACUGCCCCAGUGUAAACGAAUGAUGUUUUGAAACACCCAUCUAAAGGAGGAUUUAGCAGUAAGCAGAGAAUAGAGAGCUCCGCUGAAACUGGCCCUGAAGCGCGCACACACCGCCCGUCACUCUCCUCAAUAACCCGCACAACUUAUAUAAACCACAAGAAUAUUAAAGAGGAGGCAAGUCGUAACAUGGUAAGUGUACCGGAAGGUGCACUUGGAAAAC